rnacentral:piRNA from 1 species
UAGUAAGUUCUGUGCUUAGUAGCUGGUGUU